rnacentral:rRNA from 1 species
GUGUACGUACAAGCAGUGGGAGCACCCUUUGGGUGUGACUGCGUACCUUUUGUAUAAUGGGUCAGCGACUUAUAUUCUGUAGCAAGGUUAACCGAAUAGGGGAGCCGGAGGGAAACCGAGUCUUAACCGGGCGUUAAGUUGCAGGGUAUAGACCCGAAACCCGGUGAUCUAGCCAUGGGCAGGUUGAAGGUUGGGUAACACUAACUGGAGGACCGAACCGACUAAUGUUGAAAAAUUAGCGGAUGACCUGUGGCUGGGGGUGAAAGGCCAAUCAAACCGGGAGAUAGCUGGUUCUCCCCGAAAGCUAUUUAGGUAGCGCCUCGUGAAUUCAUCUCCGGGGGUAGAGCACUGUUUCGGCUAGGGGGCCAUCCCGGCUUACCAACCCGAUGCAAACUGCGAAUACCGGAGAAUGUUAUCACGGGAGACACACGGCGGGUGCUAACGUCCGUCGUGAAGAGGGAAACAACCCAGACCGCCAGCUAAGGUCCCAAAGUCAUGGUUAAGUGGGAAACGAUGUGGGAAGGCCCAGACAGCCAGGAUGUUGGCUUAGAAGCAGCCAUCAUUUAAAGAAAGCGUAAUAGCUCACUGGUCGAGUCGGCCUGCGCGGAAGAUGUAACGGGGCUAAACCAUG